GAUAAACGCUGGCGGCGUGCCUAAUACAUGCAAGUCGAACGGAGGUUUUGUAGCAAUACGGAACCUUAGUGGCGAAUGGGUGAGUAACGCGUUGGUGACCUGCCCCGAAGUGAGGGAUAACAGUUCGAAAGGACUGCUAAUACCACAUGUGGUCAUUGGGUUUAGAAACUGAUGUCUAAAGCAGCAAUGCGCUUCGGGAGGGACCUGCGUCCCAUCAGCUCGUUGGUAGGGUAACGGCCUACCAAGGCUACGACGGGUAGGGGGCCUGAGAGGGUCGGCCCCCCACACUGGCACUGAAACACGGGCCAGACACCUACGGGUGGCUG
rnacentral:rRNA from 1 species